rnacentral:sRNA from 1 species
AAAGCUGAAGCAAAUUUAUUGUGGAAUAAUUGUCUUGUUAAAAUCACUCCUAAGUGUGCGUUAGAUAUAAUUGCUGCUGUCUUCGAAAAUGGAACAAUGUCUGAUCCUUGUUUGCAGAGAUUACUU